CCAAUAGCGUAUAUUAAAGUUGUUGCAGUUAAAAAGCUCGUAGUUGAAUUUCGGGGUCAGUAGGUUGGUCGUGCCACUGGUAUGCACUGGUCUCACUGAUUCCUCCCUCUUGUAGAACCGUAAUGCCAUUAAUUUGGUGUUGCGGGGAAACAGGACUGUUACUUUGAAAAAAUUAGAGUGUUUAAAGCAGGCUAACGCUUGAAUACAUUAGCAUGGAAUAAUGAAAUAGGACGUUCGAUCCUAUUUUGUUGGUUUCUAGGAUUGACGUAAUGAUUAAUAGGGAUAGUUGGGGGCAUUAGUAUUCAAUUGUCAGAGGUGAAAUUCUUGGAUUUAUUGAAGACUGACUACUGCGAAAGCAUUUGCCAAGGAUGUUUUCAUUAAUCAAGAACGAAAGUUAGGGGAUCGAAGACGAUCAGAUACCGUCGUAGUCUUAACCAUAAACUAUGCCGACUAGGGAUCGGAUGAUGUUAAUUUUUUAAUGACUCAUUCGGCGCCUAACG
rnacentral:rRNA from 1 species